UCCACCGUUUUAGUACGUUUGAAAUGAGGAUUUGUUGGAUCAAGUGCAAAAUUAUGGUUAGUAUAUAGAGCAGCAAAACGUGGGUCACUGACAUCAGCUUCGAAUCCUUCCUGCAAGCCUUCCAAAUUGGAGGCUUUUUUCUUAAGCUUGCGAUUCUUCUUAAACUUUUCAGCCUUCAGUAUACUCUUCAUGUCAAAAUGAUCGAGCUGCUCAGAAUCGUUUUCAUCUUCACGAACAAGGUUUUCCAGUUCUUCUUUAGACGCGGCCGUAGGAUCUUCAAUUUGAGUAUGCUUGCCCUUUUUGUUUUUCUUAUUGUUACGACUAGCAUCCUUGUCCUUAAAGAAUGGAUCAUCAAAACCAAGAUCAACGUCGGAUCCUUCACCUUCAUCGUCUUUUGUUUUCUUAAGCUGUCUCAAUUCUUUCCGUCUUUGUUUUCUUUCAGCGGCCUUACGCUUGUAUUUUUCAAUAGUGGUUUCAUCUUUUUCCGAAGAGUUCGCAUUGUUAUCAACAUCAAAACCUGAAGUAAAAGUAACCUCCAUCUCACCAUUGGCGCCUUCAAGUUUGUCAUCAUCCUCAAAAGGGUUACUAUUCGCUUGGAAGUCAUCAGCAUCACCACUUAAUAACUUUUGGUAACGAGAACGAAUAACAUCUACAUCCUC